rnacentral:lncRNA from 1 species
CUUGGAUUAGAUAAAGAGUUGCUCCUAAAAACUUAAAAAAUUCGUAGCUAAAACGAGAGAAAAGAAAAUACUAACACAACACUAUAUAUGUACUUAAAAACACUUCACUACCUUGUUGCUUAGAAGGAAACAGAAAAACUACACAAACACAAGAAACCAAAACAGGACAAAUUCAAAAGGAUAAGGCAAGGUAGGUGGUGGUAGGGUUGGCUAGGAAAGUAGCAUUGAUGAAGCACAGUAGUACAUUUUUAUUUUACAUGAACCAUAAAGUUUUUUAUUUACAUUUACAUCUUGAUCUAAUGUUGCUCCCAUUCCAUCCAAUUGGAUUCACUACCAACUCGAGGAAUACUGUUGACUCUUGAGAACUUAUCAACCUUAAAGUUGGCCCCACACAUCACUCCUUCACUGUCUAUCCUUGGCAUUGCCUUCAACUUGUUCAACGGAUGCUCAAAGCUCAUUAAACCUCCUUCACUAUGAAACAUACACCCUGCAUUCAUGAUUCAAUGUUAUCUCAUAUCAAUAUCAAAACUAUUUUUAUUACUUCCCCUUGAAUGUAUUGAAGGGUUGUGCUUUAAUUGGUAUUUUAAACAUAAAAUAAAUUGGAAUACUAGCCUAAAUUAAAAAUUAAUGUUUUUUAUUUUAUUUUUUAUAAACCCACAUGGGUUGGCUUAGUGGUAAUUGGCUUAGGACUUGGAAGUGUGCUCUUCCUCGAGGUCUCAGGUUCGAUUCUCUCUGGUGCUAAUUUAAGUGGACUAAUUUUGCUUCUUAAAAAAAAAAAUUAAUGUUUUUAUAAACAUGUUAUAGAUGCCAAGUAUUUACUUUUGUUUAACAACAAGAGCAGUGUUAUUUGAACAACUCUUUUGGUACAACUUUUGAGACAACUUUGUUAUUCUCUCUGCUCUUGUUUGAAGUGUCCGAGUCUCUGAUUUGGAUUUGCUUUAGCCGCAAAUUCACACAUUCACGUAGUUAACACAUCAAUGAUUGUUGGAUCAAGAUCGGACAAACAUAAAACAAGCCAAUUUUUUUAACUCUAAAUACUGAUAUUGAAAUCUAGACCGUCUGGUCUUGAUACAACAAAUAUCAAUGUUUCGAGUAUGUGAAUGUGUGAGAUUUGUGUCCGCAGACAAUCUAAACCCCUUGAGUCUCUUAUACCACUUGGACCAGCCACAUGCUCUUAAAGUAGUUUUACCAAUUUGAAGGAUUUUGUAUUCAAGAUAAAUGGGUAUGAAUGAUGGCUAAAAUUUUGGUACCUGCUGGAAAAGGAGCAAAGGAUUUAGCACAACCCUCUUGUAUAACAUUAAGAUCAUCAGAGAUCACAACAGAUCCAUCAGCUGCAAUACCCCAAUACAACUUCAAUCCACCAUCAGAACCCUGCAUAAAAAACAAACAUCAUUGAUUGAUUGAGAUUUUGAAGAAUUGUUAACAAAGAACAUGGCAGAGUAACAAAUAUAUAUACCAGUGCAGCAAAAACAGUUCCAAAUGUGCUGUCAUAGACAACAAAGGCAAAACUGCCAUCAAGUUCCUUGACAACUUGAUCUGGUGGAUAUGGACCACGGUCACGGAGUGUCCUAUAAGCUUCAAUCAGAAACAUGGCUUCAUCAGUUCCCUUUGACAAACCAUAUUGCUUGUUCAGUAAGGAUAAAUUGUUCAAACUCCCCAAGAACAAACAGUAUAUGUCAUCAAGCCCACAGAACAACCUGCAAAUAAAAUACCAUCUCUUAGCACUAAUAACAUUUAAAAAAAUAUUAUAAUUUUGUAACAACCAUGUUAUUGGCGCAAGCAAAUUUUUCCGAGUACUAAUCUCCUUCAAUUUGGUCAGCAACAUCAAUUUUUCCAAUAAAAAAAGUAUGCAACAGUAAUUUGAACUGUAACAUAAUACACAUGUCUCUGGAUCAAAAGCAGACUCUAAUACCAUGUUAAGCUUUUAUGUUGGACCGAAUUCAUCCUUAUAAAAGGAAUUAAAGAUGUCACUCUUUAUAAACUAUAAUUAGACCACAUACAAUCGCGAUUCUUUCUAAUAUCAAAGAACCGCGACAUAAAUUAAAAAAAUCAAGUACUACUUCACUACUUAUAGUAAAAAAAAAAAAAAAAAAAAAGGUCUACUCAAAUAAAUGACAUAUUGUUGCAUAAUAGUAAAUAUAUAUAACCUUUGAUGAACAGAAAAAGGCUUAUCAGGUCUAACAUAAGCAAGAGCAGCUUUUCCAAAGUUCAUAGAACAAGUAUUAUCAGGAUGAUGAGAAAUGAAUUCUCUGAGAAUUUCUUCAGGAAGCUUAGGUUUCUUUAAGCCUUUGUAUGAUGCAGGGCUAUUCAGCUCUUCAGGUGGAUUAGCAAGACCUUUGUGGAAAAUUCCCAACAUUUUCUUCUUCUUCGUGUGAUUCUACACCAAAAUCUUGAGGUCUAAGAAAAAUAACUUUGUUUACUUAGGUAUUGAAUACGAAGGAUUUAAAAUAAAAUGGAAGCAGGGUCAUUGAUUCAUUUUGAUAUUUAUAUGAGAGAUUUACAUAACACCUACCCCCAGAGUGAACAAAAGUGGUUAAGGUUGUCUUGUCUUUUUUUAAGAUGAAUGGGUGGGUCCUAUUUUGAUGGAUAAGUAUGAAACUUCAACAAGUAUCUUCUUUGAUCUUAUCAUGAGAAAUUUGUUUAGGUACUUUCAGAGUGACUAUUUUUAUGUGAGCAGUAAUAUAUGAACGAUCAUUUGAGAUAAUUUUUUAUGACAAUUUCAUUUUUCUUUAUUUUUAUUGAUAAAAAACAAUAGAGAAAAAAAAGAUAGAAAAUUAAAACAUAAUGGGAGUAUUAAAGAAAAAUUGUUAAAAAAGUUAUUAUAAAAUGAUUGUAUAAUUUUUU